UUAGAGGGGUGAUCGCAUUCGCUCUGUUCUUUUGACAGUAUGGAGAGGAAAGUCCGGACACUAUAGGGCAGGAUUCCUUGUGAAAGCAAGGGCACUUCGGGGACAACCCCGAGGUGACGGAAAGUGCCACAGAAAAUAUACCGCCCGCGCAAGCAGGUAAGGGUGAAAUGGCGAGGUAAAAGCUCACCGCUCCAAGGGCGACUAAGGAGGCAGGGAAAACCCAAUCUAGUGCAAGGUAAAAUAGGGGGCCAGGCGGCCCGUCUGAUGGCUCCGGGUAUACCGCACCUCAUUUAUGGGGACUGAAGCUAUGUAAAAAUAUCUUUGGUAGAUAAAUGAAUGCAGCCAAGCGCGAUGCAAAUUGCCUUGGUAUACAAAAUCCGGCUUACUCCCCGCUAAACCG
rnacentral:RNase_P_RNA from 6 species